AGCAGCCGCACACACGUUGUUGGAUUGAAACCUGUGGAUUUAUUUCCUGUGAGCGCCAGAGAUUGUUGGACCGUUCACCCUCACGUUCACCAUAUGGGACAAGUAAACACACACAAGAAUGAACGAGUGUCAAUAACGUGGCGUAAUAACAUACCAAGAAGAAAUACCCUUGUCUAACGCCCCUGACUGAUUGCUGGCGUGGUGGCGGGCUCCUCCCCUCACACCGCAGCGGGAUGCCUGGAACACAAGCCCCGCACAGCUCUCCACGCACCGGCUCGUUAGCACCACACUAAACCAACCCAGAACCUGACCCUGAAAAUUGGCCUUCCACUCUUCCCUCUCGCAACAUUUUAUUUCUUUCUCUCAUUUGUUCUUCCCUUCCAUUCUCCCACUCUGCUCUUCUUCGCUCUUCCGUGUUCUUUUAAAUCUUGACAUUUGAAUUCCUCUUGUCUGUUCGAGUGAAGCAAAUAGGACUUUGCUUCGUUCAGAGUUCAAGUACUAUAGGGUUGUACCAUUGCCAACAAAACCUUUUUCGCCGUGCUUUUAUCAAGAGAUCUCAAAUUUUCCGUGGUAUUAUUCAUUUCAGCUUAGGCUCCAGCACACUUGAACACUGUAUGGUUUCAGUGCAAGACAAAUAUAUAAUGCUAUCUAUCUAGUUGCUAUCGUGUAUAGUUUUUAAUCAGCAGGAAGCAGAAAGCAAAGGUGAAUGAGUGAAAAGUGAGAAAAAGAUAUUUUUCCUUGAUCAGAACAACUUAAUAUGUUUUCUUCCCCAAAUCGCCUUCAGUUACACAAGACCGCUAACCUAACCCUACAAUGACGCAACAUACUGGCAAUAAAAAAAAAGAGGAAAAGCAGCGUUUCAAUACGUCCUGAGAGCAAGACAGAUCCUGGAAGGUUGGACUCGACUGGACUCAGCUCUCUGGACGUCUCUUACUCCUCAACAAAGCGAGGCGAGGCGAGGCGACCAGCGGGGCUCAUAUACCCGACCCCGCCAUUCAGGGGAAAGCCUCCUGAUCCGCUCUGACCGCCUCACGCACUUGCACCGGCUAAGGCAAAGCAAUAAAAGGAAGCAAAAGGAAGACGAUGCUGCUGCUAAACUCAGGAUGAAACUGACCGCACAGGUAUAUCUUCUUCUUUACUUCCCACGACCUGCACACAUUUCUAAAAGGCAAGGCAAGGGAAGGUGAACUGAAGCGAAAAGAUGAAAAUAAGUAAAGGGAGAGAAGUGUACGUUAUUUAUUUAUUUUUUUUCCGAGAUGCACUUUCAUUAUUAUUUUCUUCCUUAGGCAUGUGCGUUCGAUUCCAGAUACAUUUACAAAAGGUAAGGGAGGAGGAGGUGGAGUAAAGCAGAAAGAUGAAAAUAAGUAAAAGAGAAAGAUAUAUAUAAGGAAAAUAACAAGAUGCACUUUUGUUAUAUAUUUUUUUUCCUUAGACACAAUAAGCACUUGUUUUUAGAUACAUUUCGAAACAGAAUAGGAGUGAAGCGAAAAAUUAAAAUGAGACAAGGGAGAACGAUAUAUUUCUGUUUAUAUUUCCUAACCUAGACGUGUGCAUGUAUUUUUAGAAGCUCGUACCUACAUUUCAAGAGGGAAUAGAAAAUGGAAGGAAGAAAAAGAUGGAAGAAAAAAAGAACAAAAAUGUUUUUACGUUAUCAGUGAAGGGAGAAUUGUAUAUGUUAUUAUUUUCCUCCUUAGACUUGAUGGGUUAAUUUUUAGAUACAUACAUUUCAAAAAGGAAUAAACAAUAAAGUGAUAUAUAUUC